GGCCAGACUCCUACGGGAGGCAGCAGUGGGGGAUAUUGCACAAUGGGGGGAACCCUGAUGCAGCGACGCCGCGUGGGUGAAGGAGCGUUUCGGCGCGUAAAGCCCUAUCGGCAGGGAAGAAGGAGGACGGUACCUGACUAAGAAGCCCCGGCUAACUACGUGCCAGCAGCCGCGGGAAUACGUAGGGGGCAAGCGUUAUCCGGAUUUACUGGGUGUAAAGGGAGCGUAGACGGCGGCGCAAGUCCGGAGUGAAGGCCCGCGGCCCAACCGUGGGACUGCUCUGGAAACUGUGCGGCUUGAGUGCGGGAGGGGCAGGCGGAAUUCCUAGUGUAGCGGUGAAAUGCGUAGAUAUUAGGAGGAACACCGGCGGCGAAGGCGGCCUGCUGGACCGUAACUGACGUUGAGGCUCGAAAGCGUGGGGAGCAAACAGGAUUAGAUACCCCAGUA
rnacentral:rRNA from 1 species